CCUACGGGAGGCAGCAGUGGGGAAUAUUGCACAAUGGGCGAAAGCCUGAUGCAGCGACGCCGCGUGAGGGAUGACGGCCUUCGGGUUGUAAACCUCUUUCAGCAGGGAAGAAGCGAAAGUGACGGUACCUGCAGAGGAAGCGCCGGCUAACUACGUGCCAGCAGCCGCGGUAAUACGUAGGGCGCAAGCGUUGUCCGGAAUUAUUGGGCGUAAAGAGCUCGUAGGCGGCUUGUCACGUCGGGUGUGAAAGCCCGGGGCUUAACCCCGGGUCUGCAUUCGAUACGGGCUAGCUAGAGUGUGGUAGGGGAGAUCGGAAUUCCUGGUGUAGCGGUGAAAUGCGCAGAUAUCAGGAGGAACACCGGUGGCGAAGGCGGAUCUCUGGGCCAUUACUGACGCUGAGGAGCGAAAGCGUGGGGAGCGAACAGGAUUAGAUACCCUGGUAGUCCACGCCGUAAACGGUGGGAACUAGGUGUUGGCGACAUUCCACGUCGUCGGUGCCGCAGCUAACGCAUUAAGUUCCCCGCCUGGGGAGUACGGCCGCAAGGCUAAAACUCAAAGGAAUUGACGG
rnacentral:rRNA from 1 species